GACGAACGCUGGCGGCGUGCUUAACACAUGCAAGUCGAACGGAAAGGCCCUGCUUUUGUGGGGUGCUCGAGUGGCGAACGGGUGAGUAACACGUGAGUAACCUGCCCGUGACUUUGGGAUAACUUCAGGAAACUGGGGCUAAUACCGGAUAGGAGCUCCUGCUGCAUGGUGGGGGUUGGAAAGUUUCGGCGGUUGGGGAUGGACUCGCGGCUUAUCAGCUUGUUGGUGGGGUAGUGGCUUACCAAGGCUUUGACGGGUAGCCGGCCUGAGAGGGUGACCGGCCACAUUGGGACUGAGAUACGGCCCAGACUCCUACGGGAGGCAGAAGUGGGGAAUAUUGCACAAUGGGCGGAAGCCUGAUGCAGCAACGCCGCGUGCGGGAUGACGGCCUUCGGGUUGUAAACCGCUUUCGCCUGUGACGAAGCGUGAGUGACGGUAAUGGGUAAAGAAGCACCGGCUAACUACGUG
rnacentral:rRNA from 1 species